rnacentral:rRNA from 1 species
AUGGCGCGACGGGGGCGGCCGGGGCGCCUGCUCUCGCACGCGUCAGAGGAGGGUUGGUGGUGCUCGCGUCCGUGCGGUGGCCCUCACGUCCGUCAACAGGCAGCAUGGUGCGGCGUGCGGGACCGUGUUUCGUCCGCUCGCUCCUCGUCCGCGGGGAAGUGCCCCGAUCCAAACCACGCGCCAGGCGGCGGCGUGAGCCCGCUCGCCAGUGAGACUUCCUCACCCGCCGCCAGGCCUCUCCUUCUCCUCCUCCCGCCUCCUCUCCCGAGGAUGCGCUGCCGUCCCGGUUGGCAUCACCCGAAGCCAUCGGCUGGCCACCGCCCAGCCCCUCGUUCGUUCAGAGCGGACGGGUUGUUUCGCCUAGCGAACGAAUGCAGGUGCGGAUGGCAGAGUUUUCGUCCGCCCUCCUAA